CAGUAGCCGCGGUAAUACAGAGGGUGCGAGCGUUAAUCGGAUUUACUGGGCGUAAAGCGUGCGUAGGCGGCUUUUUAAGUCGGAUGUGAAAUCCCUGAGCUUAACUUAGGAAUUGCAUUCGAUACUGGGAAGCUAGAGUAUGGGAGAGGAUGGUAGAAUUCCAGGUGUAGCGGUGAAAUGCGUAGAGAUCUGGAGGAAUACCGAUGGCGAAGGCAGCCAUCUGGCCUAAUACUGACGCUGAGGUACGAAAGUAUGGGGAGCAAACAGGAUUAGAUACCCCUGUAGUCCCUGUCUCUUAUAA
rnacentral:rRNA from 1 species